GGGGCUGAUUCUGGAUUCGACGGGAUUUGCGAAACCCAAGGUGCAUGCCGAGGGGCGGUUGGCCUCGUAAAAAGCCGCAAAAAAAUAGUCGCAAACGACGAAACCUACGCUUUAGCAGCUUAAUAACCUGCUUAGAGCCCUCUCUCCCUAGCCUCCGCUCUUAGGACAGGGAUCAAGAGAGGUCAAACCCAAAAGAGAUCGCGCGGAUGCCCUGCCUGGGGUUGAAGCGUUAAAACGAAUCAGGCUAGUCUGGUAGUGGCGUGUCCGUCCGCAGGUGCCAGGCGAAUGUAAAGACUGACUAAGCAUGUAGUACCGAGGAUGUAGGAAUUUCGGACGCGGGUUCAACUCCCGCCAGCUCCACCA
rnacentral:tmRNA from 1 species